CGCGUAGGCGGUUGCUUUAGUCGGAUGUGAAAGCCCCGGGCUCAACCUGGGAACUGCAUCCGAUACUGGGCGACUAGAGUACGAGAGAGGGAGGUAGAAUUCCACGUGUAGCGGUGAAAUGCGUAGAUAUGUGGAGGAAUACCGGUGGCGAAGGCGGCCUCCUGGCUCGAUACUGACGCUGAGGUGCGAAAGCGUGGGGAGCAAACA
rnacentral:rRNA from 1 species